rnacentral:rRNA from 1 species
AGACUGCCGGUGAACAACCGGGAGGAAGGUGGGGAUGACGUCAAGUCCUCAUGGCCCUUAUGGGUAGGGCUUCACACGUCAUACAAUGGUCGGUACAGAGGGUUGCCAACCCGGCGAGGGGGAGCUAAAUCCCACAAAGCCGAUCGUAGUCCGGAUCGCAGUCUGCAACUCGACUGCGUGAAGUCGGAAUCGCUAGUAAUCGUGGAUCAGCAUGUCACGGUGAAUACCGGUUCCCGGGUCUU